CCCAUUUUUCUCUCUCUUCUUCCCCAGCUUUCUUUUCUGGUGUUGUGGUUUCCUCUGCAAUCUGCUCUGCACCUCUUUCUCGUUCUCUCUUAUCCUACGAUUCGAGACCGUGCAUAAGCUGAAAAAGGAGAAAGUAGAACUUUACGUUGAUCUAGAGGAGCUGUACGUUAUUGGAGGUAAUCCGACCUUUCCCUCAUUCGUUUUCACUUAGGGCAGAAAAUCUCAAGCAUACAACUUCUGGGUAGUUCCCUAGAGCCUUUGGUCUGCAUAAAGCAACGAAUAUCAAAAUAAUAUACCGCUUCUUUAAUCUAACCAGGUUCAGGGGAAAAAAGUUUAAACUUGAAGCUUCUGAGCCGUCAUCCAAAGAGGUCAGUUGGAGAGAUUCUUUAUGGGUUCGAUUUGCUUCGUUGCGAGUUUAGAUGGGCUUGGUGCAAUUUUUGUGUGUAGCUUUUGUAUCAAUUUCAAUGCCUUGUUUGUUAAGUAGCUUUCUGUCAUUUUCAGGGUAGGCAAGGGCCAAAUGGCAAAGUCUUGCAAGGGCUUGGCAAUGGAGUUGGUCAAGUGUCUUAGUGAGUGCGAUUGCGUUAAGGUUGAGAAGCGAUCGUACAGAGAAUGCGCUGGGGAGAAGAGUCCAUCAAUAUCAAGCGAAUGCAUUGGUCUGAGGGAAACAUAUUUCAAUUGCAAGAGAGGCCAGGUUGACAUGAGAGCUAGGAUUCGGGGGAACAAAGGCUAUUGAGGAGCAGUGGUAAUGUUUACCAAAUCGUGAAACAAAGUUUUGUACUUGAAUUGAAGAUUGUGAAAUAAAUUUUUUAGUUCAAUUGUAGCCGUAUUUUUUGUACUUACGACCGAUACCUUUUCCUCAAUAUUAAUAGUUUCUUUGUAGUAACCUGAAAAAUCUUGUUGAAUAUGAAGACAACUAAUUAAUAAAGGCCAAGAAUUGUACUAGAUGG
rnacentral:lncRNA from 1 species